rnacentral:rRNA from 1 species
AGGGCACCACCAGGAGUGGAGCCUGCGGCUUAAUUUGACUCAACACGGGAAAACUCACCCGGCCCGGACACUGUAAGGAUUGACAGAUUGAGAGCCCUUUCUUGAUUCGGUGGGUGGUGGUGCAUGGCCGUUCUUAGUUGGUGGAGCGAUUUGUCUGGUUAAUUCCGAUAACGAACGAGACUCUAGCCUGCUAAAUAGUUCGCCGAUCGCAUUCUGUCGGCGUAACUUCUUAGAGGGACAAGUGGCGUUUAGCUACACGAGAUUGAGUAAUAACAGGUCUGUGAUGCCCUUAGAUGUCCGGGGCCGCACGCGCGCUACACUGAAGUGAUCAGCGUGCUUUUCAAACCCUGCUCUGCCAAGAGUGGGAAACCCAAUGAACCUACUUCGUGAUUGGGAUAAAGGAUUGUAAUUAUUCCUUUUGAACGAGGAAUUCCCAGUAAGCGCGAGUCAUAAGCUCGCGUUGAUUACGUCCCUGCCCUUUGUACACACCGCCCGUCGCUACUACCGAUUGAAUGAUUU